rnacentral:misc_RNA from 1 species
CUGGGUGGCUUCGGCCUAAACCCCCUAACCAUUGUGAACGAUACCAGUUGCUUAGCUGGUGGCGGUGAAAACUGCAGUAACCGGCGGCACAAAACUCUUCUAAUGUCAUCUCUGAGUUACUUUUAAAUAAGUCA